AUUGAACGCUGGCGGCAGGCCUAACACAUGCAAGUCGAACGAGUGGCGGACGGGUGAGUAAUGUCUGGGAAACUGCCUGAUGGAGGGGGAUAACUACUGGAAACGGUAGCUAGUACCGCCUACCAUCGGAUGUGCCCAGAUGGGAUUCGCUUGUUGGUGGGGUAACGGCUCACCAAGGCGACGAUCCCUAGCUGGUCUGAGAGGAGGACCAGCCACAAUGGAAGUGAGACACGGUCCAGACUCAUACGGGAGGCGGCAGUGGGGAAUAUUGCACAAUGGGCGCAAGCCUGAGGCAGCCAUGCCGCGUGUAAGAAGAAGGCCUGCGGGUUGUAAAGUACUUUCAGCGGGGAGGCGUUACCCGCAGAAGAAGCACCGGCUAACUCCGUGCCAGCAGCCGCGGUAAUAC
rnacentral:rRNA from 1 species